UACGUAGGGACCGAGCGUUGUCCGGAAUCAUUGGGCGUAAAGAGCGUGUAGGCGGCCACUUAAGUCCUGCGUGAAAUCUUGCGGCUCAACCGCAAGCGGUCGUGGGAAACUGGGUGGCUAGGGUGCGGGAGAGGAGAGUGGAAUUCCUGGUGUAGCGGUGGAAUGCGUAGAUAUCAGGAGGAACACCGGUGGUGUAGACGGCUUUCUGGACCGUAACUGACGCUGAGACACGAAAGCGUGGGUAGCAAACAGG
rnacentral:rRNA from 1 species